CCCGCCCCUAACGGUCCCUAUGACAUCACCAUCAACCAAUCAGUCGGCGCAUCCUUUCGCCCCUUGACUGCUCCGCUUCCGGGAGGCGGGGCUUCUGCGGGUUCCACCUCCCGAGCGCCCCUUGUGGCUACCAAGGACAGGCAACAGAGACGGGGUCUCACCAUGUAGGCCAGAUUAGUCUUGAACUCCUGGGCUCAAGCAAUCCGCCCAUCUUGGCCUCCCAAAGUGCUGGGAUUAUAGGUGUGAGCCACCGCGCCCGGCAACCCAGAAGUGGUUUUGACAGCACCAGCGCUUUCUGUGUCCACAAUCUACUCCCAACUAGAGGUCCACCCAGGACCCAGAGACCUGGAUUUGAGGCUACUGGGCGGCAGAUGGAGCGAUCAGAAGACCAGAGGAGACGGGAGCUGGAGUGCAGUGGCUGUUCACAAGCAUGAAAGCAAAGCACCCCAAUGAGAAAGAAAAAGUCAUGACCAGAAGUCAGUGUCAGUGAUUGCUGAUGUGUGGAACCAUCUGAUGAAUGAGGAGUUUGGGUAAAAAAUAAAGGGAACUGAUGAAAA